CCCCGCGUCCCCCGAGCCGGCCCCGCGCGGGAGCUCGCGCGUCCCCGCCGCGCGCCCCACGGGGAGGGCGACGCCGCGGAGGAGGAGCGGGCUGCGCCAACUUUGCGCCCGGGAUACUUUCGGGGGGUCGUGCUGGAAAGUUGUGGCGUUUGCGCAAGCCCAUCAGAGGGUGGCCCCUGCCUCUGCCGGGCUUCGAAGCUGUCGGUCUGCAACCCAAUAAAUAGUCAGAGAGCCAGAAAUGCGUUUAUAAUUUUAACCCUUCCUGGGUCCCCUUCCGGGCCCCUUUAACCCUUUGGGUACUCGGCAGUUUGGAAGUAUCAGCCGAAGCUGGGUGGCAUGCGGUCCCACAGACCACCAGGGGGAAGGGCCCCGGGGCCCCUGAGAAAAAUUAACCAUUUACGUGGGGCUGCAGGCUUAAAAGGUGAGCCUCACUUGAUGCCCAGAUCGAAGUACAGUGACCAAGACAGAAUAGAAAACUGGGACCAACUGCGCUCUAACUUUGGUUUGGACAAGAUGUUUAAGUAGCACUUUCUUGCCUACUGCCUCGUUUUCUCCAUCUGUGAAAUAGGACACAGCAAGAAGGGAUGUGGUGAGGCUGGGACCUUUGAAGGUGUGAAUGGUGAGCUGGGGAACCGGAUAACCACACCCCAAGCAAGCCCUUCUUUGUAAUGCCCCACAAGGGGAGGCUGCUGCAGGGUUGAUUCCUUGGCCCUAGGUGGGUCUCACCUCAGCCUGGAAGUUGCCAAAAAGGAUUCUGCCCCAGUAAGAGGUCUAAGGCCUGCUCAGUGCUGGGUAUGUCCAGGAAGGUCCCAGACAGUCCCAAGAAGGUAUCACUUCAGGGGAGCGGAUUGCCAAGAGAAAGGAGCUUCCGCCAGGGUGGUCCCAGGGGGCCUUCUAAGGUUAAGCAUUCCUGAUAAUGGUGUAGCUCCUGGAGAUCCGAUGGGGGCUGGGAGAGGAGGGAACUUCACGGCUUGUUUCUUGUGACCUUGAUACUACAAAUGCUUCUUGGAAUCCCUUGUCUUUCACUUGCAGUGUAACCUUGAGUGUCCAUCGCUUUGACCCUGUUUCCUCAUCUUGCAAAGCUGUGAGGUCCAGCUGCCAGCUCUAGGGGCUCAUGGGACAUCCCCUCUUCCCAGAGAUAUGUGGCUAAGGCAGAGUCAGUGCGUGUUUCAAGCUUCCCUCUGUGGGGCUGCCAGGAAGCUCAGAGCCAAAUUCCAUCCUCAUUCCCAACAGCAUUGGCAGCUACUUCCUUCUCAUUUCUGCUUCCCGCUUCUAAUCCUGGCUAAGCCUUGUUUUCUCUGCCUUUCAUUAAAGAUGUCUCCCUUUGUUGAUGGCAAGAAAUAAAUCUUUCAAAUGAAUCCACAUUUGGAAGAGUUGCUGAAGUGACCUGGAUCCCGUGAGCCGAGCUCUUGGCCAGGCAUGGUUCCAUUUUGGUCUUGCCCACUUACCCAACAGCUGAGGGAUCUCUCUCUUGGAAGGAAAGAGGGACUGGCUUAACACCAAGGGAUUGCUCACACAGCUGCCGGCAGAGGCUGAGAUCAAACAGCCAGGGUCAGGUUCUCUACUGACAGGCAGCUCGCCUCUCUCCUGCUAGCUCCCUAGGCACACAAACCACACCCGCAACUCAGCACCCCAAGUGUCUCCUAAGGAUCCAUCCCACUGAGACAUGGCAGGAGACAAUUCCAUCUCUCUGGAAAAGCCACUUACCAGACUCCUGUCGUGUGCCAAGCAAGGAGAGGCGAUAGGUUGCAGGUGGGAGAUUGGGGUGGGAGGCCCAGAGCACUGUCGAAUGUCUUUAGACAGGGACAGCCCUCUCUGAGAAAGUGGCACUGCAGGGGCUUGUGCUAGAUUGAAGACUCAGUUUUGCCAAGAGUAGAAUGACAGAAUCCAGAGCAGGGGACACAGCCACUGUGAAGACACUGAGGUAGGACGAACAACACAGUAUGGGAGGGAAGUAGCAAAGAUGAUGAAGGCAGCAGUGAGGUCGGAGCCCAGCCCUUCCCGAUUAGAUUUGCUGGAAGAGCAGGAAAAGCCACUGAGCCUCGGGGCUGGGAGACACGAGCUCUGCUUUGCGUUUGCACAAGCUCACCCAGCUGCCAUGGAGCCUUAGUUUCUUUUCUGUUGCCAUGAGAAAAUAUUCUGGAAAGAAUUGACUUACAGAAAAAAGGGCUUAUUUUAGCUCGAGCUUUAAGGUACAAUCUGCUGUAGCUAGAAGGCAGAGCAGCAGGAGCCUGAAGUAGUGGGUUGCAUUAAACCCACAGUCAGGACAUGCUAGUGCUCAGCUUGCUCUCUCUGUUUCAUACAGUUCAGGAUUCCUUGCCCAGGACUGGCCUCAUCGAUAAUGAAGAUGGGUCUUCUCACACCAAUUAAGAUGAGCAAGAAUGGGGCUGGAGAGAUGGCUCAGUGCUUAAAAGCACUGUUCUUCCAAAGGACUCGGGUUCAAGUCCCAGAACCCACGUGGCAGCUCAUAACUGUAACUCCAGCCCCAGGUGAUCUGACACCCUCACACUAAUGCACAUAAAAUAAAAUUAAAUGAAUUUAAAAAAAAAAAAAGAAAGAAAAGAGAACAUGAAGGUAGGAGGGAAAAGUUGGGAAGUGAUAGGGCAGGAAAUGGAGAGGGAAGAAUUGAACAAAAUACAUUAAAAAAAAAGACAAGAUAACACUUCACAAGCAUGCCUUAAGCCUAUCUCCCAGGUGAGACUAGAUUCUGGGAGCUGGUGAGAUGGCUCAGCAGUUAAGAAUACUGACUGUUUUGUUUUUGUUUUUUAAGGACCCAAGUUCAAAACCAAGCACCCAUAUGGCAGCUCACAACUGUCUAUAACUCAAGCUCCUUAACACCCUCACACACACAAACAUACAGGCCAAACACACAUGCAUACAAAAUAAAAAGCAAAUUAUUUAAAAAGAGAUUCUGCCAGGCUGACAGUUAACAUUUUACAGCUCUACUCUUUGUCAACUUGAUACUUGAAUACAUCAUUUUUAAGCCAUAAUCUUGUACACCUUGUCCUCAAAGUCUCAUGGUAUUGCUAUAAAUUUAAAUAGCCUGACUCUAAAAGUCUCCAAAGUCUUUAAUGAUUCCAACACUUUAGAAGUGCAGACUCAUUCUUUUUCCAACUUGGGCCCAGCAGAAUGGCUCCCACAAAGAAGAGUGGUGAAAUUAAGAAGGUCUAUUCUGUCAUCAAUGAGGUGGUGACAGGAAAAUAUACCAUGGCAGCAUCCAUAAAAUGGGCUUCAAGAAAUGUGCUCCUUAGGUACUCAAAGAAAUUCAGAAAUUUGCCAGGAAGAUGGGUACUCCAGAUGUGCACAUUGAUACCAGGCUCAAUAAAGCCAUCUGGAAUGGCUAAGGGAUAUGGAAUGUUCCAUAUUGUUUCUGUGUACAUUUGUAUAAAAACCAUAAUGAGGACAAGGACUCACCAAACAAUUUCUACACAUAACUAACAUAACGUGCCUGUUACCACAUUUAAAAAGUUACAGACAGUCAGUGUGGAUGAGAACUAACCUUCUGAAUGUCAAAUAAAGUAAGAAGUUAAAAAAAAAAGUCCAGUGUCUGGGCUGGAGAAAGAAUGGAGCAGUUAAUAGCAGUUGCUGCAUUUGUAGAUAACCUAGACUUGAUUCCCAGCACCCAUGUCCAAUUACUCAUAACCACCUAUAAUUUUAGUUCCAGAGAAUCUGAUGCCCUCUUCUUCUGGUCUCUGUGAGCACCAAGCAUACAUGUGGUGCAUAGAUAGAUAGAUAGAUAGAUAGAUAGAUAGAUGACAGAUAGAUGUAUUUGCAGGCAAAUAUUUAUGCAUAUAAAACAAAAAUAAAUAUAUUUUUCAUCAAUACUCUCUUACUGUGUACUACUGUGAAAUUAAGUUAAAUACAUGUGACAUAUAAUGGCAUAGAAGAAACCUUCCUAUUCCCAAAUGGAGAAACCAGGAUAUAACAAGUAAAAAUCACACAAGAGCAAAACCAAAAUCAAACAGGGAAAACAUCAAAUCAUGAGCUCCAUGUCUGGCAUCUGGAGCUUGUGAUAAAAUCGGCUGGGUUCCAAAAGACUAGGAUAGCACCAGCCAUUCUGUUCUCCUGCCCUCAGAUUCUCUCCUGGACUAGUGUCAAUCUAUGUCCACAGCUCUCCUUGCAUGUCCUUGUGGUCCCCACUUGACCUUUAUCAUCGCCUCUCAUGGCCCCCUAGCAAGGACUCUAACCCCAUACACAUUGCCUGACCUUGGCAUCUCUGAAAACAUGGAGCAAGACUCCAUGGCCUUCUUGGUCCUGUAUUUUCCAUACUUGUGAAGCCAACAUUAUAUGGAUGACACUGCAGCGUUCUGCUUCUCACUUAAAAUGAAGCCUGCCUACCUUGGCUGACAGCUCUAUGUACUUCUGUGUGUUGAUCCCAGAGAAACAGUUUUCCAGGCAGUUGCUUUCCAGAAAAUCAGUAAAUCCAGUCAGUGAAUCUUCGUCGAAGGGAGGCUUUAAUGGGUUUGGUCCUCAGGAUACCUUUCCCAGUGGGUCAGGAGGUUUCUCUUUAGUGGUGCUGAUGUCUUUAAUAAUUACAGCUGCUUCCCCAGCACGGGCCUAAAAGCUCUCCUGUCUUGAAAUUUUUCUGCCAGAAAAGUCAAUCGGUUGCCUUCAAAUUAAACUUCAUCCAGGUUUGGGGGUGGGGCAGAAUGAAGCCAGAUUAUUUGGAAAAAAUAUCACAUAAAUGGCUCCUUGCCAGUUCGUGACAGAGGCCUUGUCCCCUGAAACCUCUUGAGCUGGGCCCUCACCAAAUUUUCUCAACAUUCUCACCUUCCUAGCUCCCACCAGAAUUGGCCGUUAAGCUCUGUGUCUAGCUUUUGAGGGCUUUUCUAGCCCAAGGUUCCAAAAUUCCAGUUUUUCCAUGAAUGCCAGCCAUAGAACAGUUCCAGUGGCCUAAGAAACACAUGACCAGGUUUAUCAAGCAAUGGUCCCAGUUCCAAGUACCAAUUCCUGUCCUGGUAUCCUUUCCUGUUGCUGUGCUAAAAUACUCUGACAAAAGCAGCUUAAAAGAGAAAGGGUUUAUUUUGGUCACAGUUAUCUUUCUGCCCCUCAGCCUUGCUGUGGGAGCUCCAUCCCCUCCAAUGAGGCAGGACAAGCCUCGUAGCUUGAAAGAACCACCCUGAGCCCUGGGUAAAGCAACAAAAGCAAGGUGCAUAAGUGGGUGGAAACUGCCUCUUCUUGGGACCCUGUGAUUUGGGAGGAGCUGCCCUUACCACUGGGGCCCUUGAGUCUGCCUUUUGUGAUUUGCUGUAAAGGUGUUCUAAAGGUUGCAGACAGGCAGAGUGGCACAGGUCAUUUUGAAUGUGCCCGUUCAUUUCAUAACACACUGUGAAGGUUUUUACAAAUUCCCUCCCUUUUUCUUUUUUUUUCAAAUCUCUCUCUCUCUCUCUCUCUCUCUCUCUCUCUCUCUCUCAAGCACCUUUUUAUCUCUAAGACCAUUUUAAGUGGCUGCACUGCUCAGAGCACGUUGUGAUGUGUUUGGAUGCUGCCAGUUUUUGCCAUUACAAAUAAUGGUGUGAUACUAUCCUCAUUUGGUUCGAGGGAAAUUUUUCUAGGAAUAAAAUUACUGGGGGGAAACAUCUCUGCCUUAUUAAGAUCUUCCUUAGGUUUCUCUCCAGAACUUUCUGUUGAUCCGUAGUGAUGUCAGCAGAGUCUGAGCAUGCACAUACUCUCAUUACUGUUACCAACCUGCUUGGUGAGCAUGUCAUGUGCAACUAUGGAAUUGUAGACUUUGUGACCUUGACUUAAUUAGGGGGUACACCUUUGGGUUCCCAGAGAGUAUUAAUGAAUGUGGAUGACACAUUCCAGUGGGGGGAUGUCCUGGACUAAAUAAAAAGAGGAAGAGGAAGAUGGCAACUGGGCAGGAUGCUGUGUCCUGAUCUGCUGGGAUGUGAGUAAGCAGUCUCACAUUCCCACUGCCACAAACAGGAGCUGGUCUCCGGCUUCCAGCCUUCCCACCCCCAAUAACCUCAUCCCCUCAAGUGUGAGCCAACAUGAAUUCUCCCCUCUACUCAUUCUUAUCAGAAAUUUGGAUUAUAGUAACUAGAAUAGUUAUUUCUAAUUCUCAGAUCCUGAACACCUUCUAUGUAGUCACACUGAACUGGGGAACAGAGGAGGCCCAGGCCCACUUCACCCAGCCAGUACCUCAGAGGCAGCCUUUACCACAGCCAGUACCUCAGAGGCAGCCUUUACCUCAGAGGCAGCCUUUACCACAGCCAGUACCUCAGAGGCAGCCUUUACCACAGCCAGUACCUCAGAGGCAGACUUUACCACAGCCAGUACUUCAGAGGUCGCUUUUACCACAGCCAAUCUUGGACUUCAUAUAAGGAAAUCACACAGUCCAUAAACUGCUAGGUUUGCUGCCUCUGCUCAUUCCUUUGUGUGUGAUUCAGAGAAUACUGAGAAAAGCAGACAUGUUCCUCUUGUUACUGUGUAAUAUUCCAUUGUAUAAACACAGUGAUCCAUUUUGCUGUUUGUAGAUCCAUUUUGCUGUUUGAGUUGCACCUAAUUCCUGACCCCUUUAAAUGGACACCAUAAACCAUUUGACACAUGUUUUGUUUUUUGUUUUUGAUUAAUGUAUGUGUGUUGGUUUUCUCAUAUUACUCAAUGAUGGGUAAUAGAUGUAUGUAGAUAUAUGCCUAACUUCAUUUUUGAAAGUUCUAGGCAGCUUUCUAGAAUAAAUGACAUUAGUUUAUCUCAUAAAAAAAGAAUAUUAGAAUGUGCAUUUAAAGGGUAUCCUUACCCCAUUAAUGUGUGUGUGUGUGUAUCAAAAAUCAGUCAAGGGGCCAGAGAGAUGGCUCAGUGUAUAAAAC